rnacentral:rRNA from 1 species
GAUUGCAGCUGCAACUCGAGUGCAUGAAGCUGGAAUCGCUAGUAAUCGCGGAUCAGCAUGUCGCGGUGAAUACGUUCCCGGGUCUUGUACACACCGCCCGUCACACCAUGGGAGUCGAUAACACCCGAAGCCUGUAGUCUAACCAUAUGGGGGACGCAGUCGAAGGUGGGAUUGAUAAUUAGGGUGAAGUCGUAACAAGGUAGC